GACGAACGCUGGCGGCGUGCCUAAUACAUGCAAGUCGAGCGCAGGAAACUGACGGAACUCUUCGGAGGGAAGGCAGCGGAAUGAGCGGCGGACGGGUGAGCAACACGUAAGGAACCUGCCUCAAGGAUUGGGAUAACUCCGAGAAAUCGGAGCUAAUACCGGAUAGUUCAUCGGACCGCAUGGUCCGUUGAUGAAAGGCGCUUCGGCGUCACCUUGAGAUGGCCUUGCGGUGCAUUAGCUAGUUGGUGGGGUAACGGCCCACCAAGGCGACGAUGCCUAGCCGCCCUGAGAGGGUGAUCGGGCACACUGGGACUGAGACACGGCCCAGACUCCUACGGGAGGCAGCAGUAGGGAAUCUUCCACAAUGGACGAAGGUCUGAUGGAGCAACGCCGCGUGAGUGAUGAAGGUUUUCGGAUCGUAAAACUCUGUUGUAAGGGAAGAACACGUACGAGAGGGAAUGCUCGUACCUUGACGGUACCUUACGAGAAAGCCACGGCUAACUACGUGCCAGCCGCCGCGGUAAGAC
rnacentral:rRNA from 1 species